AGGGGUGUAGCUCAUAUGAUAGAGCGCUUGCUUUGCGAGAGGCACAGGGUUCAAUUCCUUGCACCUCCA
rfam:Gossypium raimondii Chr10_contig_34, whole genome shotgun sequence.